UCAAAUUUCAAUUGCUGUAGUGUUUAUUAGAAAAUAGUAUUAUUACAAUGUCAAAGUUUUGUGUGUGAAGUGAUUUUUGUGAUACAUUCCAAGGAGUUUUUAUUAUCGUAGUAUGGAUGCUGACUUCCAGCUAAUCAAGAAUGAUUGUAAGCCGCUGUGUCUGCCGACAGACAGAAGCGCUGCGCCGAUUAUGCAAAGCUGAGGACAGAGAAGGACAAAUGUAUUAUGCAAAUGUGCGAUUGCGCUCGAGCACUAUUUCGCACUCUAUUCCACGCAUAGGAUUAAUGCGCAAGACAAGGACAAAGAUACGAUGCGUAGACGCCGGCACGCGUGUCGAGCGGUGGGGAUUGGCGUGCAUCGACAGCAUCGACAGCACUUGGCCUUCGACUGCGGCGGUGUACGGCUAGAAGGGUCUCGGCGAAGUGGACUCGACCGGAUUGUUUCUUCAGUAUGUUCAGUGAGUGAAUUGAAUUCUGUAUCGAAGCUGCGAUUCCGAUAACCGAUUACGUUUAGUACAUAUUGAGUUACAACAAUUUGGUAGUCCAGACAAGAUGUUGCAGUCCAUUUCACAGGAGAAAUUAAAAUUGAUGCAGUCUAAUUUACGUGAGGCAUUGAACCUGAUGCAAUACAGUUUACAG